rnacentral:rRNA from 1 species
CCAAGCAAAACGCACUUACAGUUUGACACCCCGAAACUAGGUGAGCUACUUCAAAACAGCCUUCAAGGGCCAACCCAUCUCUGUUGCAAAAGAGUGGGAAGAUUUUCAAGUAGAGGUGACAGACCUACCGAGCCUAGAGAUAGCUGGUUAUUCAGGAAAAGGAUUUAAGUCCUACCUUAAGCUUUGUCAUAUUCUCAAAUACCUGUUAAAACUUAAGAGCUAUUCAAAUAAGGUACAGCCUAUUUGAAACAGGAGACAACCUCGAAUAUAGGGUAAUGAUAUUCUUCACAUGAUCAAGUGGGCCUAAAAGCAGCCAACUUUCAAAAAGCGUUAAAGCUUCAUCAUUUAAUAUGACUAAUCCCUAAACCUACACAAAACCCUUUACCACUACUGAAUGACUCCAUAACUUUAUGGAGGACACUAUGCUAGAACUAGUAAUAAGAAGAAGACCUUCUCCAAAAUGUAAGUGUAAGCCAGAAUGAACUCCUCACUGGCAAUUACCGUCUAUGAAUCAACAGUAGUAACCCCCCCAAGAAAACUCUACUAUCCUUGACGUUAAUCUUACACAAGAACAUUACUGGAAAGAUUAAAAAAAGAGGAAGGAACUCGGC